GGACCCGAGUUCAAUGAUCUGGCUGGCUAGGCAGGUAUUCCCCUCCUCCCUAACCUCUCCAUGUGCAUCCUCCUGAAGCUGCUUGCUCAAGAAGAGGAUGAACACCCCCCAUAGGGGAGGACCAUUUCGUUGGUCAACAGUAUACAAGUAGGGGCCAGGGAUUUAGCUCAGUGGUUCAGUGACCUGCCUUGCAAGCGCAAGGACCCGAGUUCAAUCCCCGGUACCAAAAAAAAUAAAACAAAACAGUAUACAAGUAGCUGUGCUCCCCUGU
rnacentral:snRNA from 1 species